GACGAACGCUGGCGGCGUGCUUAACACAUGCAAGUCGAACGGAAAGGCCCUGCUUUUGUGGGGUGCUCGAGUGGCGAACGGGUGAGUAACACGUGAGUAACCUGCCCUUGACUUUGGGAUAACUUCAGGAAACUGGGGCUAAUACCGGAUAGGAGCUCCUGCUGCAUGGUGGGGGUUGGAAAGUUUCGGCGGUUGGGGAUGGACUCGCGGCUUAUCAGCUUGUUGGUGGGGUAGUGGCUUACCAAGGCUUUGACGGGGAGCCGGCCUGAGAGGGUGACCGGCCACAUUGGGACAGAGAUACAGCCCAGACUCCUACGGGAGGCAGCAGUGGGGAAUAUUGCACAAUGGGCGGAAGCCUGAUGCAGCAACGCCGCGUGCGGGAUGACGGCCUUCGGGUUGUAAACCGCUUUCGCCUGUGACGAAGCGUGAGUGACGGUAAUGGGUAAAGAAGCACCGGCUAACUACGUG
rnacentral:rRNA from 1 species